AGCGAACGCUGGCGGCAGGCCUAACACAUGCAAGUCGAACGAAGCCUUCGGGCUUAGUGGCGGACGGGUGAGUAACACGUGGGAACGUACCUUUUGGUUCGGAAUAACGCAGAGAAGUUUGCGCUAAUACCGAAUGAGCCCUUAGGGGGAAAGAUUUAUCGCCGAAAGAUCGGCCCGCGUUGGAUUAGGUAGUUGGUGUGGUAAAGGCGCACCAAGCCUACGAUCCAUAGCUGGUCUGAGAGGAUGAUCAGCCACACUGGGACUGAGACACGGCCCAGACUCCUACGGGAGGCAGCAGUGGGGAAUCUUGCGCAAUGGGCGAAAGCCUGACGCAGCCAUGCCGCGUGAAUGAUGAAGGUCUUAGGAUUGUAAAAUUCUUUUACCAGGGACGAUAAUGACGGUACCUGGAGAAAAAGCCCCGGCUAACUUCGUGCCAGCAGCCGCAGUAACAC
rnacentral:rRNA from 1 species